rnacentral:lncRNA from 1 species
UUUUAUGCUGUUCCCGUAACACCCAGCACCAGUCCCCAAGGAUGAGUGCUGAAGAUCCAUAGCCAUGGCAGGGCAGGGCCUAGGUACUGAAGGAAGAUCCCACUCAGAGUUCAGUUCCACCCACUGCAAAACGCCCUCCGAGGACCCUCACUAGACCAGUUCCUCCAAGUGCGGUCCGCAGGCUGCCAUCAGCGGGAUCACGGGCCUUGUAUGACCUCUGAAAAUAUGACCUGAAGCAGAUGGAUGCACUCACAUAAGAAACAUCACCUGUGGCCUUCAUCGAAAAUGGGCCUGCUGCUUGAAGAAGUUGGGCUCUUGGAGUUCUCUAGCACAGGGGCCAUGAAAAUCAAUGACUUCCUUGUUUGCUGACGGAGCAGAGGUAGAAUCUCUUGGUGUUUCCACGGAGAAAACACUGACCAUGAAGAGCCAAGAAAGAUGACAUGAUGAAGCCAUCAGGGGAAGCACCAAACAUCCUCAACUCUGCUCACCCAUGGUUUUCUCCCGCCCUCCCAGAGCUCCUCCUGCGUGAGUAAUGCAGUGUGUGCUGGUGCAGUGUCUCACUGAAAAAAGAAAGAAACCCUGAUUUGCAGCAUUGGCCAAUUUCUGUAGUGUAAAUACUCCCACCAUAGCAGAUUUCAGGUUACCAAGGGUUUCACAACUGGUUCACAAGUCUUGACUGUAAUGACCAGCUCAUGCAACUCCAGCAUCUCAUCAUCUCCGCCCUGUCCCAGAAAAUCCCCACAUCACACCCAGGCUGAAUAUCACUUUCAGCUUCUCAGUCAGAAGGAGAAGUGGUUAACUAUGCCAGGAUGGUAAUGACUAAAUAUCAGAAUGGUGAGUGUGGAGGGUCAGGAUGUCUGCCAAAUUGGAGAUGACUCUUCACUUCUCAAUCUUGGUGUCUCAUCUGGGGAAGCUGGAGGGAGACAUGCACAGCUUCUCAUGAACAGUCCUGGAAGCCCUUACCCCAAGGCCUCAUGGGGCUCUCUCCAGGGCUUGCUCUUUGUCACUCCUUUAAAAGCCUGUCAUUCAUUGCCAGAGAACAGAAGACUCCAUCCUAAGGCCAAGUUGAAAACGGCAGGCUUGGGAGCUGUCUAGACUCUGGGUCCUGGCUUUUGUCUUGGCUGGUGUCAAAAUGGACUCUUUAAAAACUGUCCUCAGGAAGAUUCCCCAUCCAACUCUGAACAGCCUGGACUGAUCUUUUUCUGAUUUUUAGGGGUCUUGUGAACAAGAGUCAGGUGGGCGGGCAGCUCUUGUAAAGCUGAACAUAACCAAAUUUGUCCAUAGCCUGUGACAGCAAAGAUCACAAAAUUCUUCCCUCCCCUUUAGGGCCUGGGAGUGACGCCGAACCAAGGGGAGGAUAGUGACCUAUUUUAUCUCCCAAACAUUGGGCAGCCAGUUGCAUUUGCAGAUUUAAAAUCCACCCACACUACUGCAGUUUCUGUUCUCCUGCCCCCCCGAGCAUACUUCUGGCUGGAGCUGGUUUUGUAAAGUGGAGUUGGCUGUGGGUGUGGGAGUCCUCCUCGGAGAGCCUGGUCUGACAGCCCCAGUCAACAGCCCUCCCAUGGGCAUUUGGGCUGCUCCAGUCCCGGCAGGUGCACAGCUCAGGGGAAUCUGGUUUUGUCUUGGUCUCAGCCAGGGAAGUCUAGUUAAAGAAAGAAAAGGUUGGCCGGGUGCAGAGGCUCACACCUGUAAUCCCAGCACUUUGGGAGGCUGAGAUGGGCAGAUCACGAGGUCAGGAGUUUGAGACCAGCAUGGCCAACAUGGUGAAACCCCGUCUCUACUAAAAAUACAAAAAUUAGCUGGGCGUGGUGGCAGAUGCCUGUAAUCCCAGCUACUUGGGAGGCUGAGGCAGGAGAAUUGCUUGAAACCAGAAGGUGGAGGUUGCAGUGAGCCGAGAUCGCGCCACUGCACUCCAGCCUGGGCAACAAGAACAAAACUCUGUCUC